UGUUGUUUCCUGUGUGGCAGCCUUACCUUGAUGAACUUCACUGGCAGAUAGCUUUCCUGGUCUCAUGAGGUGGCGGCAGCAGGAUCAAACUGGACGACAUGUCACUGUCCCAUCCUACAAGACUUCUAUGUAGAGCUGCAA